rnacentral:rRNA from 1 species
CCUACGGGAGGCAGCAGUGAGGAAUAUUGCGCAAUGGAGGCAACUCUGACGCAGCCAUGCCGCGUGCAGGAAGAAGGCGCUACGCGUUGUAAACUGCUUUUAUCCGGGAAGAAACCCCUCCACGCGUGGAGGGUUGACGGUACCGGAGGAAUAAGCACCGGCUAACUUCGGUGCC